CAGCCGCCGCGGUAAUACGGAGGGGGCUAGCGUUGUUCGGAAUUACUGGGCGUAAAGCGCACGUAGGCGGCUUGGUAAGUUAGAGGUGAAAGCCCGGAGCUCAACUCCGGAAUUGCCUUUAAGACUGCCGAGCUAGUAGGUGAGGGAGGUAAGUGGAAUUCCGAGUGUAGAGGUGAAAUUCGUAGAUAUUCGGAAGAACACCAGUGGCGAAGGCGGCUUACUGGCUCAUUCUAGACGCUGAGGUGCGAAAGCGUGGGGAGCAAACAGGAUUAGAUACCCGAGUAGUCCCUGUCUCUUAUAC
rnacentral:rRNA from 1 species